UCGGCGAGUCAAUGCCCUGACUCGGCGAGUCCAAGGCAAUCUUCAUAGCUCAAGAACAGACUCGGCGAGUUGUUCAUACAACUCGGCGAGUCUUAGCAUAAAGUGUUCAUCGGAUGAAGAUGAACUCGACGAGUUGUUCAUACAACUCGGCGAGUAGGAUGAAGGUGUUGAAUGGCAGUUAGAAGGUGAACUCGUCGAGUCAUAGCCCGACUCGACGAGUAGAACCAGGGACCCAGGACAUUGGUUUGCUAGGGACUCGGCGAGUGGUGAUCCACUCGGCGAGUCGGGUCAACUGAAAGUUGACUCCAGCUUUGGCUUAGAGUUAAUCCAGGGGUAAAAUGGUCAUUUUACCUAAAGGACAGUUAGCAGUGUUUGAUUGAGUAUGUCGUGGAAAUUGCAGCCGGAGGACUCCCGGAGCAGCAGCAGUCAGUUAGUUCCCGAUCAGUUCAGCAGCUACUUUGAGGUGAGUUACCUUCCAGUAGCGGUGGGUCUAAGGCCACAAUGCCGACCCACCAGUAGGAGUUGUAUGAUAGAUGAUUGUCUUUGUGAUAUCAUCUAAGUUCGCUAGUACCUGACAUGUUAUAUGCUAGCAUGAUAUGCUGUAUGUGAUAGUAGUAGAGUUUGGUUGUUCGGACCGAAGGGUAGUCAGACACCCCAGAUACGUCUGACAGUAUGUGACGAUAUGUAUGCAUGCUGGCUUGUUAUGUUAUAUGUGAUCGUAGUAGUAGGGGUGAAAUAGUCCCCGAGGAUCGGUUGUUAGGACCGAUGGGUAGUCAGCACCCCAGAAUGGCUUGACACGGGUAAGACGGCACCCCAGAAUGGCCGUAUGGGUAGGUCGGCACCCCAGAAUGGCCGUACCGGGUAGUCAGGCACCCCAGAAUAGCCUGGCAGUAUAUAUGUUAUGUGUUUGUAUGGUAUGCGGUACGUUGGGGGAACUCACUAAGCUUUGUGCUUACGUUUACAGUUUUGUUUUCAGGUACCUCUGCAUCGAAGGGGAAGGAGCCGGCGCGGUAGCGGCACGUCAUACACACACUCUUCGGUUUCCGCAUUUAUGAGAUUUACUGGGAUUGUACUCUGAUAUUUGAUGGGAUGUACGGUUUGGCUUUUGAGAACAUGGUUGCAAUGUGUUAUGGUGUGAACAAACAAUGUUUCUUUUUAUUUAGACAAUGUUUUUAUUUAUUAAUGUUUUCUAAAGUAAUAUCAAAAAAAAAAAAAAAUAAAAUUUGGGUCGUUACAAGUUGGUAUCAGAGCCCUGGUUUGAGGGAUUCGGACACGCCUUCGGGAGUGUUUGGACUCAAACCGAGGGAUUGAAAGAUUUUUCCAAAAGAAAUUAUUCUUUAAAACCCGGAAAAGAGUCACGAGAAAGAGUAAAGUGUGUGACGUGCGCGACCGGCCGAGCUCAAGUAAGUAUUCCCCAUAGUACCCAUACAAGUUUAUGUUAUGUUUAUCAGCUUUAUGAAUAUUGCAUGCUAGAAUAGGCUAAGGAUCUAGGAGUGAUGCCUUAUGUGCCUGUUUAUUUGUUCCAGCUUAUUGAAUAUUGCAUGCUAGAAUUGAGUAGACAGCAGUAGGGUAGCCUGUUUAGGUUAUGCCUGAUAGUAUGAGCUUAGCAUCCUAUGUUAAGUGUCGUUUCUUGUUCUAAGAACAGUUUUGGCUUGAGUCUGUUUUUCCUUAUCCGAAUGCUGCUUGCUUCGUGCUCGGUGGGAUUCUGAGUAAUGGGAGUGAGCCACUAGGUAAACACGUCACACCACAUGUAAUCAGGGUUGAAUAAUCCCAAAGUGUUGGAACUGGCCCUAUUGCGCAGCUCUUGUUUGAGUCCAACCGUUGUAGGGACGGAUCUUUUACUUGAAGGAUUAUCUAAUCCUCAUUACAUGUGAUGGUGUUUAGGUGGUGGCUAACUGGCAUUAUGAGGAGACCUACAGCAGCUGAGGACCAGUUGUGUUGAACUUGAGUUCUCCCUAGGGCAAGCCUAGGGUGAGAAUAUCGGAGAGUAGCAGUAGUAGAGGGGAGUUGGUGGAGUCGAGGAAUUCCUCGGAGAAGGUACGGAUAGAUGUGGAAGGUAGUAUGGGCCCGUACUACUGAAAGCAGAGGAUCCGUACCCGAGCCGAGGAAGGCCAAGACGAGACCAAGGAACCUGUAAGUAGUUGAGAUCCCUCAGAAAGUAGCAGUACCACUAAUGAUUAUUAUUGAUGUUUUGCAGAAUGGUGGUACUUCGACCGAGACCGACAGAUGGCGGGUCAGGAGAGGGGUCAGGUUCGGGAUCUGGCACCGAGCCGAUUGAGGAGAGGCUACGUGAGUUCAUCACGUCGGAGAUCACUAGGGGCAUCCUUGAGUCGACCCCCAUCAUCUUUGGGUCGAUCAAGGAAGGGAUCGUGGAGAUGAUGGAGGAUCGCCUACGGGCAUUCAGGAGCGACUUGGCCUCUAGCCAGUCAGGAUCUCGCACACUGUCCUUCAAGGACUUCAGGAGCAGUGGUGCGCCGGAUUUCCAUGGGGUGAAGGACCCCAUUGUCGCCAGGCGGUGGAUUGCGGAUAUCGAGUCCGCCCAGUUGAUCAGCUUCUGCCCCGAGGGGUCGAAGGUGAGGUACGCAGCAGGGUGUUUACGGGACCGGGCCCGAGAUUGGUGGGAGUCAGUGGGUGACUCGAUGGGAGCCUCGGCUGUCGAGGCAAUGACCUGGUCGGACUUUGUGACUAGGUUCAGGGCAGAGUUUGCGCCAGCGGUCGAGCUUCAGCAGCUGGCCAGGGAGUUCUUAGACAUGAGGCAGACGACAGAGACCGUGGCGGAGAUCACCGCCAAGUUUCGGGAGAGGGCUUUAUUGGUGCCCCAGUAUGCAGGUGACGAGGAUAUGAGGAGGACUCGUUACCACGACAUGCUACGAGCUGACAUUCGGGAGCAUGUUAGCUUUUCGGCUUGCCCUACCCUGGACUCCAUGAUUGCCAGGGCUAGGGAGAGAGAGAUAGAUUUGGAGCACAUCCGGAAACGGAAACUUGAGGAUGGUCAGUCAUCGGGGGCUUCGGGGAAGAAGCCCAAGGGAUCAGAUGGGAGGCCGAAAGGCCAGUCGGGACCGAGCCGCUGCAGGAGGUGCGGCAGGCCGCACGAGGGGGCGUGCAGGAUGGGAUCGUCAGGCUGCUACAAGUGCGGCAAGUUUGGGCAUAUCAGCAGGGAUUGCACUGCUCCUGCGACCGUUAUUCAGACAUCGGAGUUGCUGUGUUUCCACUGCAACCAGAGGGGCCACAAGAAGGCCAAUUGCCCCAUGUUGACAGCUUCAGCGCCAGUGAAGGCGCCAGCUCCAGCGACCCUGCGGAUCACGGAUGGCCGUCAGGGCAAGGCAGAGGCUCCAGUGGUGAGGAGUCGGGCAUUUCAGUUGACUGCCGAGGAGGCACGCGCCGCGCCCGAUGUGGUGACGGGUAUGAUUCCUUCCUUCUAUCUUUUAUUUUACGUUGUUAUGAUAUUGAUAUGUGCUCCGUGUGUAUACAUGUGUAUUAGGAUCGUUCCAUGUGAACGGCAUCCCGGUUCAGGUAUUGUUCGACUCGGGUGCAUCCCGAUCGUUCGUUUCUCUUGCUCUUAGCAAGAGAUUUCAUGAGACUUCAGGCGAGUUAGAUUGCCCGUUAGAGGUAGAGAUUGCCGAUGAUCGAUCGGUGCGAGCAUCGAUGGUGUUUCGAGAUUGUGUCCUGCGACUGUUUGAGGAGUGUUACCUGGUAGACUUGGUUCCCAUUCCAUUGCGUGGGAACAAGGUGAUUAUUGGUAUGGAUUGGUUGAGCCCUAAUGGGGCAGUGAUAGAUUGCGCACAGCAGCUAGUGCGAGUCAAGACCCCAAGCGGGGGAGAGUUAGUGAUUCAUGGAGAGCGGCCGCAGUGUGGACCCACUGUAUGUUCAGCAGCGAGGGCUAGGCGCUACCUUCAGCAGGGAUGCGCGGGUUAUGUCGCGUACGUGAUGGACACCCGGGAGGCGGGUAAGGCGACCGUGAGCGAGGUCCCGGUGGUUCGAGAUUUUGCUGAUGUUUUUCCGGAGGAACUACCUGGGAUACCUCCGGAGCGACAGGUGGAGUUCAGGAUUGACCUCGUUCCCGGUGCGGCUCCGAUAGCCAAAGCACCGUAUCGGUUGGCUCCUCCCGAGAUGCAGGAGUUGUCUACGCAGCUGCAGGAGCUGCUGGACAAGGGAUUUAUUCGGCCGAGCAGUUCGCCCUGGGGAGCCCCGAUUCUGUUUGUGAAGAAGAAGGAUGGGUCGCAUCGGAUGUGUAUAGAUUAUCGGGAGCUGAACAAGGUAACGGUGAAGAACCGUUACCCGCUUCCGAGGAUUGAUGACCUCUUUGACCAGCUUCAGGGCGCAUCUUGGUUCUCCAAGAUUGAUUUGCGUUCGGGUUAUCAUCAGAUGAGGGUCAGGGAGGAGGAUAUGCAGAAGACCGCGUUUCGGACGCGCUAUGGCCAUUACGAGUUUGUGGUGAUGCCGUUUGGGCUCACCAAUGCUCCUGCCGCGUUCAUGGACCUCAUGAACCGUGUAUGCAGACCGAUGCUGGACCGGUCUGUGAUAGUCUUUAUCGAUGAUAUCUUGGUUUAUUCCAAGACCCGGGAGGAACAUGAGGAGCAUUUGAGAGAGGUGUUAGAGACCCUGAGGAGGGAGAGCUUGUAUGCCAAGUUCUCCAAGUGUGAGUUUUGGUUGCGCGAGGUGCAAUUUCUGGGGCACCUCGUCAACCAGAACGGGAUUCUGGUCGAUCCGGCCAAGGUCGAGGCCGUGAUGAGAUGGGAGGUUCCGAAGUCCCCAUCUGAGAUUCGGAGCUUCCUAGGAUUGGCAGGCUACUAUCGGAGAUUUAUCCAGGAUUUCUCCAAGAUAGCCGUGCCCCUGACGCGGCUGACGAAGAAAGCCGUGGUCUUUCGGUGGGGACCCGAGCAGCAGGCUGCAUUUGAGACGCUGAGACAGAGAUUGUGUGAGGCGCCGAUCUUAGCCCUGCCAGAGGGCGUAGAGGAUUUCGUGGUUUAUUGCGAUGCGUCCAUUUCUGGGUUGGGCGCGGUGCUGAUGCAAAGGGGGCAUGUCAUUGCUUACGCUUCGAGGCAGCUCAAGCCUCACGAGGCGAACUACCCGACGCACGAUUUGGAGUUGGGGGCGGUGGUAUUUGCCCUCAAGAUUUGGCGACAUUACCUCUAUGGGGUUCGGUGUACCAUCUACACGGACCACAAGAGCUUGAGGUACCUCAUGGACCAGCCGAAUCUGAACAUGAGGCAGCGUCGGUGGUUGGAUGUGGUGAAGGAUUAUGAUUGCGAGAUCCUUUACCACCCGGGAAAGGCCAAUGUGGUGGCCGAUGCGCUUAGCCGCAAGACGGCGCCGAUCAGGGACGCCUGUUUGAGGAUGACUGUGGUGACUCCCCUGUUGGAGCAGAUUCGGGAAGCUCAACAGGAGGCUAUCAAGGAGGAGCAUCGGAAGAACGAGCGCGUAGUAGGUCAGGUUUCCUCCUUCGAUUAUGAUAGCCGAGGGUUAUUGACACUACACCAUAGGGUGUGGGUGCCGUAUCACGGGGGCGUGCGCCAGAUUUUGAUGGAGGAGGCGCACAAGUCCCGAUUCUCUAUUCAUCCCGGGGCGACGAAGAUGUAUAGGGAUCUUCGUCUAGACUAUUGGUGGCCCUGCAUGAAGCGGGAUGUGGCAUGGUACGUCGAGCGGUGCUUGACCUGCAGGAAGGUCAAGGCCGAACAUCAGAGGCCGCAUGGCAAGAUGCAGCCGUUGGACAUUCCACUGUGGAAGUGGGAAGAUAUCACGAUGGAUUUUAUCACGAAGCUUCCCAGGACCGCGCGUGGAGUGGAUUCGAUUUGGGUCAUCGUGGAUAGAUUGACCAAGAGUGCUCACUUUAUUCCGAUUCCGGAGAGCAUAUCGGCCGAGAAAUUGGCCGACAUCUAUAUCAGGGAGAUUGUGGCACGGCAUGGGGUGCCAGUAUCGGUGAUCUCGGACAGGGAUGUGCGUUUUACUUCCAGGUUUUGGAAGAGAUUCCAUGACGAGUUGGGCACUCGUCUGCAUUUCAGCACCGCCUUUCACCCGCAGACAGAUGGACAGAGUGAGCGGACCAUCCAGACUUUGGAGGACAUGUUGCGGGCGUGUGUUCUGGAUUUCGGUGGUAGCUGGGAUACCUAUCUUCCUUUGGCUGAGUUCUCCUACAACAACAGCUAUCACGCGAGUAUCGACCGCCCUCCCUUCGAGAUGUUGUACGGACGGAGGUGUAGGACCCCGAUAUGCUGGGGUGAGGUUGGCCAGAGAGUUAUGGGAAGCACCGAAGUGGUGCUCAAGACGACUGAGAGGAUACAGCAGGUCCGGAGCAGGCUUCAGACUGCUCAGAGUCGACAGAAAAGUUAUGCCGACAAGCGUCGAUCCGAUUUAGAGUUCCAGGUCGGGGAUAUGGUCCUCCUGAAGGUGUCGCCGUGGAAAGGCGUCAUCCGAUUCAGGAAGCGGGGCAAGUUGGGCCCGCGAUUCAUCGGACCGUUCAGGGUCUUAGCCCGGGUGGGCAAGGUAGCAUAUAGGCUGGAUCUGCCAGCCGAGCUUAGCCAGAUCCACAGCACUUUCCAUGUUUCGCAGUUGCGGAAGUGCCUAGUGGACGAUUCUGCAGUAGUACCUUUGGAGGAUAUUCAGGUUGAUGACAGCCUGAACUACAUCGAGCGCCCAGUCGCAAUCCUCGACAGGAAGUCGAAGGAUUUAAGGAACAAGAGGGUGGAGCUAGUGAAGGUGCAAUGGCAGCACCGCAAGGGUUCAGAGUGGACUUGGGAGCCGGUAGACGAGAUGAUGGAGCACUACCCCGAGCUGUUUCAGGAUCAGGCAGCAGACUUCGAGGACGAAGUCUAAAAUAAGUGGGGGAGAUGUGUAGCACCUGGUUUCCGGUAUGUGAAUUUUAUUUGAGCAUUGCCCUAAUUUAGCCUUAGACUCGGCGAGUCAUAGGGUCCGACUCGCCGAGUAGGGACGAGACUCAGGACGCGUUUUAAGUAGGCGACUCGACGAGUCCAUAUCCUGGACUCGGCGAGUCACCGCUGCGGGAUGAAACCCUAAGUUUCAAGGGUUUGCACCCUAUUUAAACUCUCAUUCCGCCCCAACUCGUCCCCAUUCACCCCCAGAACUCCCCCUACAUCGUUUUCCCUUGUUUUCUUGAGAGUUUGAGGUGUUCUUGGUGUGUUCUUGAAGGUUUUGAAGAGUAAGAGGAGUAGAUCAAGAAGAGGAGAAGGAGAUCAGCCAUCCUUGUGUCAUUUCAACAUUUCCUUUGAGGUAUAACCCGUUUUCCCCUUGAUUCUAUGCUUAAAACUUCAUUUGGGUCCUUCUUGGUCAAUUCCCCAAGUUUGCAUGUUCAUUAUAUGUUGUAAUAAGGCGUUUGGCCUUUGGAUCUAUGUAAGAUUGAGCUCCAGGAGCUCAGAUCUGUUAGCUUUUUGGCCUCAUGAGGCUUGUUAGCCCUAGAUCUACCAUUUUGAGACAUUUUGAGCCUUAUAAUCCAUAUUGGUGAAUAUCCACACGUAAAGUUGGAAACUUUACGUGUGAUUCGUGUCCUAGAAGUCCAGAUCUAUGAAUGGCAUGGUCUGGAACCGAGCAAAUCGGUAUAUUUAAGGAGUGCAUGGCGACGACUCGGCGAGUCGCAUAGGUGACUCGGCGAGUCUGGUCGCGAGUCACCGAAUUGGUCCCUUCUUCAUGUGUCGAGUUGAGCCUUGAGUCACAGGGGGUGACUCGGUGAGUUGGGAGCUGAACUCACCCAUGUUAGGACUCGGCGAGUCAAUGCCCUGACUCGGCGAGUCCAAGGCAAUCUUCAUAGCUCAAGAACAGACUCGGCGAGUUGUUCAUACAACUCGGCGAGUCUUAGCAUAAAGUGUUCAUCGGAUGAAGAUGAACUCGACGAGUUGUUCAUACAACUCGGCGAGUAGGAUGAAGGUGUUGAAUGGCAGUUAGAAGGCGAACUCGUCGAGUCAUAGCCCGACUCGACGAGUAGAACCAGGGACCCAGGACAUUGGUUUGCUAGGGACUCGGCGAGUGGUGAUCCACUCGGCGAGUCGGGUCAACUGAAAGUUGACUCCAGCUUUGGCUUAGAGUUAAUCCAGGGGUAAAAUGGUCAUUUUACCUAAAGGACAGUUAGCAGUGUUUGAUUGAGUAUGUCGUGGAAAUUGCAGCCGGAGGACUCCCGGAGCAGCAGCAGUCAGUUAGUUCCCGAUCAGUUCAGCAGCUACUUUGAGGUGAGUUACCUUCCAGUAGCGGUGGGUC
rnacentral:lncRNA from 1 species